CUCAGCGUUCUAACUUCACAGAGCUACUGGACCUAGAACCACUUUCCUCCAUUCUUGCGUUUAUAUGUAAGAUAAGAGCCCUUUGAGGAGUAGGGAGAAGAGGUUCAAUCGCCAUUCUUCCCCUUCUGAAUGGAGGAGGCAGUGCAGUGACUGGAAGUGGAUUGCUGAGGGCUACAUGAUGGCAGAACUGGGUUCUGGUUCCCUCAAUCUAAAUCCUGACUCUGAGCCAUGACAUGUCAGUGUCCUGUGCCAGUAUCCCGGUGUCUUGUGCCCAAGGGUGACAACUUGCCUUUCCGCUGGCUGUGCUUGUUAACAGAAAUGAUAGCAUCUGUGAUUGUUAUUAAAAAUAUAUACCCCCAUAAACUCUGAAGGAGGAGAAAUUGUAAUGCCUUAUGUGUCUUGGGAGAGGCCUGUGGCUUCCACCUGCUGUGCCCACAGCAUCCAUCUGAAGACCUGGAUGGACCCGAUUUAAUGAGGUUGCUAGCCAGCUCCCCAUGGCGGUAACAGGGGCUUUGUUAGGAGAAGUUUCCCAUCCCUAAGGAGUUCUUUGCAGGGUGAUGGACCAAAUUGUUGGCAGUGGGAGGUCUGGAGAAAGAUCUGGGGCUCUUCUUAUAUGGAAAAAAUCCUCUUAGCAGGUACACGAUAUUUUCCACUUCCCUGUGGGGACCACCCACAUGUGGAGUGCCCUGGAACGGAGAGGGGAAGCAGCCAUGUGUUUUUACUUAGGUGUGGGUCGCUCAAUUGGGUUAAGUGUCACUGCCUACAUUGCUUCAGCCCUGUCCAGCCCCUGGAUUCUGAACAGUGGCUCUGACUCCUUUGCUCUGUUUUUGAUCACGCAAGUUGAGAAAGACUCACAGAAGUUAGAGGAGACCUGAGUCAUUAGCGCACCUUCCUUACUGGCCAGGGGGUGGAGUGCAUCUCCCAAGUUCACACAGCUGGUUAGUGGCACAGCCAGGCCCAGAACCCGGAGCAGCCACAGGUCAGAGCAGAAAGAGCCCGGAGUGCCGAGGAGUACCCAGGCUCCGAUUCUGCUUUCUUUAGAGAAGAGAGUGGCAGAGCUGCCUACCACCUUCAGGAGUAGACUCAGCAUUAUUUGUGUUAUCCUGCCUGGUCCUCAUGUCAGCCUACAAGGCACAUGCUGCCGUUCUAUGCGCUGUACAGAUGGUCGUGGCCCGAGGUCACAGAGCCAGUGGGGGACAGAGUUUUUUUCACACUGCUCAAGGCCAGCUUGAUAUUUGGACAGGUCCAGGGUUCCAGGCUGUCCUGGGGCUCACCUCUUUCCUUCCAGCGGUGGGGCUGGCUGUGGUGGGAUGGCAGCUUUCCUACC
rnacentral:lncRNA from 1 species